GUGGGGUAACGGCCUACCAAGGCUAUGACGGGUAGCUGACGUGAGAGCGUGAGCAGCCACACUGGGACUGAGACACGGCCCAGACUCCUACGGGAGGCAGCAGUGGGGAAUAUUGCGCAAUGGGCGAAAGCCUGACGCAGCGACGCCGCGUGGGGGAGGAAGGCCUUAGGGUUGUAAACCCCUGUCAGGUGGGACGAACCCCGGGUCGGUUAAUAAUCGGCUCGACUGACGGUACCACCAGAGGAAGCUCCGGCUAACUCCGUGCCAGCAGCCGCGGUAAUACGGAGGGAGCGAGCGUUGUUCGGAAUCACUGGGCGUAAAGGGCGCGUAGGCGGCCGAGUAAGUCGUGUGUGAAAGACCGGGGCUCAACUCCGUGUACUGCAUGCGAUACUGCCCGGCUAGAGAAAGGUAGAGGCGAGUGGAAUUCCCGGUGUAGCGGUGGAAUGCGUAGAUAUCGGGAAGAACACCUGUGGCGAAGGCGGCUCGCUGGGCCUUUUCUGACGCUGAAGUGCGAAAGCGUGGGGAGCAAACAGGAUUAGAUACCCCGGUAGUCCACGCCGUAAACGAUGGGCACUAGGCGUUGGGAGGAUUGACCCUCUCAGUGCCGUAGCUAACGCGUUAAGUG
rnacentral:rRNA from 1 species